rnacentral:rRNA from 1 species
CGUGUAGGCGGUUCGGUAAGUGAGAUGUGAAAGCCCCGGCUCACCCGGGGAUGUGCAUUUCAUACUGCCGGACUUGAGUGCGGAAGAGGAUGGGGGAAUUCCUGGUGUAGCGGUGAAAUGCGUAGAUAUCAGGAGGAACACCGGUGGCGAAGGCGCCCAUCUGGUCCGUUACUGACGCUGAUGCGCGAAAGCUAGGGGAGCGAACG